GACGAACGCUGGCGGCGUGCCUAACACAUGCAAGUCGAGCGGGAACCUCAGGAGGGGUAACCCUUCUGAGGGGAGAGCGGCGAACGGGUGAGUAACACGUGGGCAACCUGCCCCGGACACCGGGAUAACCCACGGGAAACCUGAGCUAAUACCGGAUACUCCGGCGCGAUCGCAUGGUCGUGCCGGGAAAGCUCCGACGGUCCGGGAUGGGCCCGCGGCCUAUCAGCUUGUUGGUGGGGUAACGGCCCACCAAGGCGACGACGGGUAGCUGGUCUGAGAGGACGGCCAGCCACACUGGGACUGAGACACGGCCCAGACUCCUACGGGAGGCAGCAGUGGGGGAUCUUGCGCUAAUGCGCGAAAGCGUGACGCAGCGACGCCGCGU
rnacentral:rRNA from 1 species